rnacentral:sRNA from 1 species
CAAAACUACUUUCUGGUCAGAGAGAAGCAAUAAUUAUUAUUAACAUUUAUUAACGAUCAAUAAACUUGAUUGCAUUAUGGCCAGCACUAUUAAGUUAAACUCCAUUGAUGAUGCACAGUUGGCAAGAAUUGCCCCUCCAAGAUCUCAUUGCUGUUUCUGGGAAGUAAACGCUCCUUAAAAGAUUUACUUGAAGCCUUAUCAGUUGUGAGCGAGGACCAGUCGUUGUUUGAGUGUGCCUACGGAACGCCACACCUGGCUAAGACAGAAAUGACCGCGUCCUCCUCCAGCGACUAUGGACAGACUUCCAAGAUGAGCCCACGCGUCCCUCAGCAGGAUUGGCUGUCUCAACCCCCAGCCAGGGUCACCAUCAAAAUGGAAUGUAACCCUAGCCAGGUGAACGGCUCAAGGAACUCUCCUGAUGAAUGCAGUGUGGCCAAAGGCGGGAAGAUGGUGGGCAGCCCAGACACCGUUGGGAUGAACUACGGCAGCUACAUGGAGGAGAAGCACAUGCCACCCCCAAACAUGACCACGAACGAGCGCAGAGUUAUCGUGCCAGCAGAUCCUACGCUAUGGAGUACAGACCAUGUGCGGCAGUGGCUGGAGUGGGCGGUGAAAGAAUAUGGCCUUCCAGACGUCAACAUCUUGUUAUUCCAGAACAUCGAUGGGAAGGAACUGUGCAAGAUGACCAAGGACGACUUCCAGAGGCUCACCCCCAGCUACAACGCCGACAUCCUUCUCUCACAUCUCCACUACCUCAGAGAGACUCCUCUUCCACAUUUGACUUCAGAUGAUGUUGAUAAAGCCUUACAAAACUCUCCACGGUUAAUGCAUGCUAGAAACACAGAUUUACCAUAUGAGCCCCCCAGGAGAUCAGCCUGGACCGGUCACGGCCACCCCACGCCCCAGUCGAAAGCUGCUCAACCAUCUCCUUCCACAGUGCCCAAAACUGAAGACCAGCGUCCUCAGUUAG